GUAGUGAUUGUUUAAUUUUUAAAAAUAUAUAUCUACUUGAGAGUGAAAGCACAAAUAUACAACUUACUGUCUAAUUCUGUCUCAUUUGCCUUUGUCUAUUACAACAUAAUACAUCAGGCACAGUUGCUCUCACAUCCAUGGCCUCUUCACGUGUGUUUUUAGACUAGGAUGUCCAACCAACUAAGGAGUAUAUCGGCUGGUCAGUGCAGAUGGUGUUACAAAAACUGAGACGUUGACUAUUGGAGAAAUAUUCUCCUACAUGAAGCAGGAAUCUGCAAAGCUUAUAAUUAAGAAGUUUUUCUUCUUAUCUUAUUUUAUUUUAUAAUCAUUGCACCAAACUUUCAAUACUAAUAAAUUCAAGUUUUUAUUAAAUUAUUUUUUUGAAACAUUA